rnacentral:rRNA from 1 species
AUUGAACGCUGGCGGAAUGCUUUACACAUGCAAGUCGAACGGUAGAGGGGCAACCCCUCGAGAGUGGCGAACGGGUGAGUAAUAUAUCGGAACGUGCCCAGUCGUGGGGGAUAACGUAGCGAAAGUUACGCUAAUACCGCAUACGAUCUAAGGAUGAAAGCGGGGGAUCGCAAGACCUCGCGCGAUUGGAGCGGCCGAUAUCAGAUUAGGUAGUUGGUGGGGUAAAGGCCCACCAAGCCAACGAUCUGUAGCUGGUCUGAGAGGACGACCAGCCACACUGGAACUGAGACACGGUCCAGACUCCUACGGGAGGCAGCAGUGGGGAAUUUUGGACAAUGGGCGAAAGCCUGAUCCAGCCAUUCCGCGUGCAGGAUGAAGGCCCUCGGGUUGUAAACUGCUUUUGUACAGAACGAGAAGGUUUCUACUAAUACUAGGAGCUCAUGACGGUACUGUAAGAAUAAGCACCGGCUAACUACGUGCCAGCAGCCGCCGUAA